UCCUACGGGGGGCAGCAGUCGGGAAUAUUGCACAAUGGAGGGAACUCUGAUGCAGUGACGCCGCGUGCAGGAAGAAGGUUUUCGGAUUGUAAACUGCUUUAGAUAGGGAAGAAGAAAAGACAGUACCUAUAGAAUAAGCUCCGGCUAACUCCGUGCCAGCAGCCGCGGUAAUACGGAGGAUCCAAGCGUUAUCCGGAUUUAUUGGGUUUAAAGGGUGCGUAGGCGGAUUGAUAAGUUAGAGGUGAAAUGUCCGGGCUCAACUCGGGAACUGCCUCUAAUACUGUUGAUCUCGAGAGUAGAUGCGG
rnacentral:rRNA from 1 species